AGAAACACCAGCUCUCGUACGAUUACCGAAGUUAAGCAACGUCGAGCUUGCUUAGUAUGUAGAUGAGUGACCGCUUGAGAAUAGCAACGGCUGUAA